AAAAAUUUAGUUAAAUUAUAACAUUAGUUUGUCAAACUAAAAUUAAUUAAUUAAAUAAUUAAUUUUUA
rnacentral:tRNA from 1 species